CCCAGUAGCAUUCCUCAACCAAAGGAUGCUCCAAAUAUAAUACCUGGACCUACUUCAGAGAAUCCUAAUCAAAUUCAGAUAUAGCUGCAAAUUUUUUGGUAGUCGGAUGUCACUUCAGGUAUGUGUUGUGUCUUUACAUGGAAAAGCUUUUUCUUUUCUUUUCUUUUCCUUCUUACAAGCCCAUAAAAUCCAUUAAUUCAGAACCAAAGUACAAACUUGUUGGUUCAAUACACUGAAGGAUUGAAUCCAAGCCACAGUGGUGAGAUGUCUACAUCCUGAUGGGCUACGGCUAAGCUAAAAAAAAUAUGAUUCUCUCUCAUCUUAACAAAGAUUAAA